GACGAACGCUGGCGGCGUGCUUAACACAUGCAAGUCGAACGGAAAGGCCCUGCUUUUGUGGGGUGCUCGAGUGGCGAACGGGUGAGUAACACGUGAGUAACCUGCCCUUGACUUUGGGAUAACUUCAGGAAACUGGGGCUAAUACCGGAUAGGAGCUCCUGCUGCAUGGUGGGGGUUGGAAAGUUUCGGCGGUUGGGGAUGGACUCGCGGCUUAUCAGCUUGUUGGUUGGGUAGUGGCUUACCAAGGCUUUGACGGGUAGCCGGCCUGAGAGGGUGACCGGCCACAUUGGGACUGGGAUACGGCCCAGACUCCUACGGGAGGCAGCAGUGGGGAAUAUUGCACAAUGGGCGGAAGCCUGAUGCAGCAACGCCGCGUGCGGGAUGACGGCCUUCGGGUUGUAAACCGCUUUCGCCUGUGACGAAGCGUGAGUGACGGUAAUGGGUAAAGAAGCACCGGCUAACUACGUG
rnacentral:rRNA from 1 species